rnacentral:rRNA from 1 species
UUGACCUCGGAUCAGGUAGGGAUACCCGCUGAACUUAAGCAUAUCAAUAAGCGGAGGAAAAGAAACCAACCGGGAUUGCCCUAGUAACGGCGAGUGAAGCGGCAAGAGCUCAAAUUUGAAAGCUGGCCCCCUCGGGGUCCGCAUUGUAAUUUGCAGAGGAUGCUUCGGGAACGGCCCCCAUCUAAGUGCCCUGGAACGGGCCGUCAUAGAGGGUGAGAAUCCCGUCUGGGAUGGGGUGGCCGCGCCCGUGUGAAGCUCCUUCGACGAGUCGAGUUGUUUGGGAAUGCAGCUCUAAUUGGGUGGUAAAUUUCAUCUAAAGCUAAAUAUUGGCCGGAGACCGAUAGCGCACAAGUAGAGUGAUCGAAAGAUGAAAAGCACUUUGAAAAGAGAGUUAAACAGCACGUGAAAUUGUUGAAAGGGAAGCGCUUGCGACCAGACUCGCCCGCGGGGUUCAGCCGGCACUCGUGCCGGUGUACUUCCCCGCGGGCGGGCCAGCGUCGGUUUGGGCGGCCGG